GACGAACGCUGGCGGCGUGCCUAAUACAUGCAAGUCGAACGCAGUGGGGACGGGUGAUUAGCACGUGGGUAACCUCCCAUCAGAGGGGAUAACACUUGGAAACAGGUGCUAAACCGAUAUUGGUGGAUGGACCCGCGGUGCAUUAGCUAGUUGGUGAGGGAACGGCGAAACAAGGCCACGAUGCCUACCCGGUCUGAGAGGGUGAUCGGCCACACUGGGACUGAGACACGGUCCAGACUCCUACGGGAGGCAGCAGUAGGGAAUCUUCGGCAAUGGGCGAAAGCCUGACCGAGCAAUGCCGCGUGUGUGAAGAAGGUUUUCGGAUCGUAAAACACUGUAGUUAGAGAAGCGUUAUCUAACCAGAAAGCCACGGCUAACUUCGUGCCAGCAGCCGCGGUAAUUC
rnacentral:rRNA from 1 species